GAUGAACGCUGGCGGCGUGCCUAAUACAUGCAAGUCGAGCGAACGGACGAGAAGCUUGCUUCUCUGAUGUUAGCGGCGGACGGGUGAGUAACACGUGGAUAACCUACCUAUAAGACUGGGAUAACUUCGGGAAACCGGAGCUAAUACCGGAUAAUAUUUUGAACCGCAUGGUUCAAAAGUGAAAGACGGUCUUGCUGUCACUUAUAGAUGGAUCCGCGCUGCAUUAGCUAGUUGGUAAGGUAACGGCUUACCAAGGCAACGAUGCAUAGCCGACCUGAGAGGGGGAUCGGCCACACUGGAACUGAGACACGGUCCAGACUCCUACGGGGGGCAGCAGUAGGGAAUCUUCCGCAAUGGGCGAAAGCCUGACGGAGCAACGCCGCGUGAGUGAUGAAGGUCUUCGGAUCGUAAAACUCUGUUAUUAGGGAAGAACAUAUGUGUAAGUAACUGUGCACAUCUUGACGGUACCUAAUCAGAAAGCCACGGCUAACCACGUG
rnacentral:rRNA from 1 species